rnacentral:rRNA from 1 species
AUUGAACGCUGGCGGCAUGCUUUACACAUGCAAGUCGAACGGCAGCGCGGGCUUCGGCCUGUCGGCGAGUGGCGAACGGGUGAGUAAUGCAUCGGAACGUGCCCAGUAGUGGGGGAUAGGCCGGCGAAAGCCGGAUUAAUACCGCAUAAGACCAGAGGGUGAAAGCGGGGGAGCGAGAGACCUCGCGCCAUUGGAGCGUCCGAUGUCGGAUUAGCUAGUUGGUGGGGUAAAGGCUUACCAAGGCGACGAUCCGUAGCUGGUCUGAGAGGAUGACCAGCCACACUGGAACUGAGACACGGCCCAGACUCCUACGGGAGGCAGCAGUGGGGAAUUUUGGACAAUGGGGGCAACCCUGAUCCAGCCAUGCCGCGUGCGGGAAGAAGGCCUUCGGGUUGUAAACCGCUUUUGUUGGGGAAGAAAUCCUGCGGGCUAAUACCCCGGGGUGAUGACGGUACCGGAAGAAUAAGCACCGGCUAACUACGUG